UUUCAGGUUCAGUCUUCGGGUAUUCAUAACACUGAUUUCCACUCACCCCUCGCGGCGGCGGCGCUGCGCUCCCACACGACACAAACCCUCAAUCGGCAGUGGCGGCGCGGCGGCUGCCUCUCCCACUCCCGCUCCCGCUCCCGCACGGCCCUCCCCCUUCUUCGGUUUUCCCGGCGACCCCGAUUCGCCGGCCUGCUCCGUGACGCUGGGGAAGACAGAGGAGGGCGCCACCCCGCUGCGCCGGCCUGCGCCGCGACGCCGGGGAGGGGGGAAACCCCGCACCGCGCAGUGCCGCCCCGUGACGCCACCGCGCUGCGCCGGCCUGCUCCGUGAUGCUGGUCGCCGGAGAGGAGGACACCACCACCACCACCACCAUGGCAACGAGCCUAGAUUCGUGAAAAACGCCUGAACUGGAAGAAGAAGUUGGCAAUAGCAUCGAAAGUUCUCAGUGAUCGUUGGCAAUGAGCUGUGAGAAUGUUGAGGAAGAGGUCGAAGGCUUAGAAGAGGUCGAAGGCUUAGAAGAGGUCGAAGGCAAAGCUUAGAAGAGGUCGAAGGCGAAGCUUAGAAGAAGAAAAUGGAGUCCCAGAAGGAUAAAGCAACACAGGUGUUCAGAAGCAGGACAAGCGCAACUAUUGCAAAGAAGAGCUUUUAUGCGAAUAAAAAAAUGUGGUAUAUCAUCCUUGCUGAAGCAUUUGACCACCUGCAGGAGCAACCCCAAUAAGAUCAAUGAUAACAGGCAGCAAACUCUUCAAGCUACAACACUACAACAGAUGAGGAGGACGGCAGUAAUUAUGCAAUUGUUGCUGCCUUGCUGGGAGGUUUGAUCCUGAGAAGAUUAGAUAUGCUUUUGCUGAAAUGAUAAUUAUGGAUGGGCUCCCGUUUGCAUUUUCCGAGAAAUCAGGAUUUAGAGAGUUUUUCAAUGAAUCUUGUGAUAGGGUCAGCUUAACAACCGACACCUGGACAUCUAUGCAACAGCAGAGCUAUAUGUGUGUUACGGCUCAUUUCCUUGAUACCGAUUGGAGGCUACAUAAGAGGAUUAUUCGGUUAUUCUUGGUCUGUGGUCAUAAGGGGGAAGACAUUGGGAAGGACAUCCAGACGUGUUUGGUGGAUUGGGGUUUAGAGAAAGCGUUCACAAUAACUGUUGACGAUCCAUCAGCAGACGAUGGUGCUGUAAGUUACAUGAGGAGGUCAAUGAAAGAUGCUAAAAGUAGCAUAGCAAAAGGACAAUAUGUUCACAUGAGAUGUGCAGCCCAUGUCAUAAACAUGAUAGUUUUGGAUUGCCCAAGAGAAUUGGAUAUCCCAGUGCAACGAGUCCUUGUUGCUGUCCAUUUUAUCAGAAAUUUUCUAUCUAGAAUUACUCAAUUUAAGAAGUGUGCUGACUUGGAGAAGGUGGACAGCAAAGCAUCCUUAUCACUUGUUGUAUGCAUCAGAUGGAACUCCACAUACCUAAUGUUCAAAGCUGCAGCCACAUAUCAGAAGGUGUUUGAUAGGUAUGGUGAUGAUGACCCUUACUUUGCAAUUGAGUUAAAUAGUGAGAAAGCACCAGGAGUUCCUGAAGCUGUAGAUUGGGAAUAUGCAAGGAAGAUUUCAGAGUUUCUUGAGCAUUUUUAUAACCUCAUUGUUCUUCGGUCCAAGCACUCAUUUGUACUCAGGAAUGGAUGUGGUCAGCUCCUGUAAAUGAUGAAGAGGAUACAAAACAGUUGAUCAAACUAGAGGAAGUUUAUAGAGAUUGGAGCCUUGGGAAAAAUCUUGCCGUCUCUCUGAUGAGUUGGAGCGUGGUGGUGCAAAACUGCAAAUCUUGUUGUCUUGUUCGGUUCAAGCGAUUGUGUCAUUAUUUUAUUUUGGCUAUGCUUCCAGGCAGGAACAUCUAUCAGUCAGUCAAUGAUAUGAAAUCAUUAUCUGUGUCAUGUUGCUGUGCUGCUGCUACUAUGAUCUGUAAGCCACUAUCUAUUUUGCUUCAAGUUAUGCAACCUCACAACUUUUUAUGGUUCAAACAGUUAAAAAUAGCUUCACCAUAAGGAAA